rnacentral:lncRNA from 1 species
UUGUUAUCGUACUCUCUACUUUAUUAUUUUAUUUGUUUUAAAAUCACAACUUUGUGCAUUAAAAUCUCUUGGAAAUAAUAUUGAAAAAACCCAACACCCAACACACCCUCCAUCUCCCCUUAUUUCAUUUGUCACAAUAUAUUUGAAAUAACAACAUGACACAGGAUUAGCAAAACUACAGCUGAAAGCCUUUUACAGAGAUCAGGUCACAAAUGAGAAAUGAAGUUUUGAGACCUAUCCCAGAGAGUGUGAAAUGUUAUGGAGUUUUUAUCUCUUGCAAUUAAAACCUUCAGUCUUGAAGGAUAUAUCCCAGGUAUCCUGAUGGAUAGACAUCCGAUGUGCUGUAAGACAAAACCUGAAAGAAGCUCAGGAUACCACGGCUUGUGCCAGCAAAGAGUUAAAUCAUCUGCAUGCUAAUUGUGCAGACAGAGAAUUUAACAGGAACUUGAAAACUGGAGCUACACAAAGUACAGAAGUGCUUAGAGAAGGAGAAAGUGCUUUUCCAGGAUUCUGCAAGGUGGAUUUUAUUGAGUUGACAUACAUACUCAUACCUGGGGCUCUAAAUCUCUUGGCUUGAGAGGUUUCACAAGAACCUUUCCCUAACCCUAGCUCCCUCCUCAUUGAGGUAAAUAUGCUCCUGCGGUCCAGAGAGGCCUCUGCUUUGAAUUCUGUCCACAGACAUUCAGAACUUUCCAGCUGCUUGUUCCUCUCUAUAACCUGGGCAAAGAGUGCACUGCCCUGAGGAUACACGCAUCCCUAGCUUUUGUGUCAGUCAGUCCUUUUAAUUUCCUGCACUUAUUUUACUGUCGGGAGACCUUAAGUCUUAAAACGAGUCUGGGAGGCCAAAGAGAGUGGCGGGAGCCCUGGCAGAGCUCCGCACUGCGUUUGGGGCAUUGUGGCAUCACUGUGUGCAUCCACAGCAACUGCGGAAUUCCUGCACGCCUGCCUUGGGCUCUGCGUUCGUCCCAGGACUCGAAUUCCUGCGGUGCCAGGAGCCACUGCCCUCCGACGGUCCAUCCCAGCUCGCCAUGCUGGAGGAGGAGUUCCGUCGGGACAGCUCCCAGCAUCGGCGGCAGACUGUCCGUUUAUAGACUUAUAAACUGCAUUUUGGCCACCAUGAGUUCACCCUCUUCAGACAACAUCUCUUCCAGGAAAGCUAAUAGGUGAGGUGCAGUUCUGGAUUUUUAAGUGUAGCAGUUUAAUUCCUGCUUUUGUGGCUUAUUUAUUUUCUAGAU